rnacentral:rRNA from 1 species
CCUACGGGAGGCAGCAGUGAGGAAUAUUGGUCAAUGGGCGCGAGCCUGAACCAGCCAAGUAGCGUGAAGGAUGACUGCCCUACGGGUUGUAAACUUCUUUUAUAAAGGAAUAAAGUGAGGCACGUGUGACUUUUUGUAUGUACUUUAUGAAUAAGGCUCGGCUAACUCCGUGCCAGCAGCCGCGGUAAUACGGAGGAUCCGAGCGUUAUCCGGAUUUAUUGGGUUUAAAGGGAGCGUAGGUGGGUUGUUAAGUCAGUUGUGAAAGUUUGCGGCUCAACCGUAAAAUUGCAAUUGAUACUGGCAGUCUUGAGUACGCUUGAAGUAGGCGGAAUGCGUGGUGUAGCGGUGAAAUGCAUAGAUAUCACGAAGAACUCCGAUUGCGAAGGCAGCAUACUAACCUGCCACUGACAUUGAGGCUCGAAAGUGUGGGGAUCAAACAGGAUUAGAUACCCUAGUAGUC